AAAUAGGUCAACUCUUUUUAAAAAGGUCACAGUCAUUAUUAUAAAAGUAAAUAUUACCUCAGGUACAAGCUCUGUUGCUGCCACUCACUCACAUCAGCUGCCCCUCUGCUCCUCCACAGCAAACAUGAGAGCUACUGUUACUGCCCAGGGAAUAUUCUGUAAUAGUUGGUCUUGCUGAUUUGUUCUCUUACUGGUGGCUCAGAUGGUAAGAGUCUGCCUGCAAUGCAGAAGACCUGAGUUCAAUCCCUGGGUCAGGAAGAUCCCCUGAAGAAGGAAAUGGCAACACACUCCAUAUUCUUGCCUGGAAAAUCCCAUGGAUGGAUGAACCUGGUGGGCUACAGUCCAUAGGGUCAAAAAGAGUCGGGCAAGACUGAAUGACUUCACUUCAACCUUCAACAGAUAGGACUAAUGAGAAGAGGAAAGAGAACAUUCCUGUCGGUGCUACUUCAUCAAGGACUCAAGAGUCAGUGUGCAGAAUGCUACAGAAAAGUGUUACCACAGCAGUGAGAAGUAUAAUGUGGUUAAUGGGUGCAGUUCUCAGUACGAGGGUAGAACUACACAGAGAACUGAGGCUGUAGUCAGAGAAAAGAGAUUCAAGAUGGAAGGUGUCUGGCUGCCUCAAUCAUCACAUGGGAAAAAGCAGGCCAUGACUACACUGAGCCAUUAUGUGAGUGGAAAAUGAAUGUUUAUUAUGUUAAGUCACUGAAAAUUUAGAGGUUUUCUUCUUUAGA
rnacentral:lncRNA from 1 species